GACUAUUUCAGUAUCUGGAAGUACACUUGUGACCGGAGGCAUGGCCGCUGUUGCUGCCAACAUAGUGGCAGUGAGCGCAAUCUGGGAGUAACAAGCACACUGUUUAGAGGGGAUGGAGAGCUUUACAAAUGGGAAUGUUAGGUUAUUGAAGCAUGAACGCAGCAUCGUUGCAGAGGAUGAUCUUGACCGUCGGUGGCAGGAAGCCACUGGAGAGGCUGUUUCCGAGGUCUCCAACCGCCCUGCACUCACUGUCCAUCCAAUCGGUUGGUUCUGCAUUCAUCUGUCUGUAUCUUGUUUAACACACAGGUGUGCCACAUCUGAGGGAGGAUGAGACCCCCCCCCCCCUCAAGGUGGGAGGCCUGGAUGGGCAGCGGUGCCAAACCCUCGAAUUGGCCCAUGGUUCCGGUUGAUGCAAAAGGUUGCUGCAGACCAAGGUCUUGUUCCAGAGUUUGAGAUUACACUUGAAGCUACUCACCAUGGACCACCAUGAAG